GACUGCCUUUUGCAUAAUGAGCCUGCGAGUUGUGGUGACUAGCGAGGUUAAGGAUACCCGAAGCCGUAGCGAAAGCGAGUGUUAACGUGCGAUAAGUUAGUUGCUGCAGACCCGAAACUAAGUGAUCUAUCCAUGGGCAGGUUGAAGCUGGUGUAAGAGCCAGUGGAGGACCGCACAGGUGUACCUUUAAACGUACUCUGAUGACCUGUGGAUAGGGGUGAAAGGCCAAUCAAACUUAGUGAUAGCUGGUUCUCUCCGAAAUAUAUUUAGGUAUAGCGUCAUGUUCGAAACAUAGGGGGGUAGAGCACUGAUUGGGCUAGGGCCUACACCAAGGUACCAACCCCAGUCAAACUCCGAAUACCCUAUGUGGAUUCAUGGCAGUCAGGCAUAGGGUGAUAAAAUCCUAGGUCGAAAGGGAAACAGCCCAGACUACCAGCUAAGGUCCCAAAGUUCUAUUUCAGUGGAAAAGGAUGUGGAGUUGCUUAGACAACCAGGAGGUUGGCUUAGAAGCAGCCAUCCUUUAAAGAAAGCGUAACAGCUCACUGGUCUAGCGAUUCUGCGCCGAAAAUAUAACGGGGCUAAAAUAGACACCGAAGCUGUAGAUUCUCACAAUAGUGAGAGUGGUAGGAGAGCGUUCUAGUCAGCAUUGAAGCCAUACCGGUAAGGAGUGGUGGAGCGGCUAGAAGUGAGCAUGCAGGCAUGAGUAGCGAUAAAACAGGUGAGAAUCCUGUUCGCCGAAAACCCAAGGGUUCCUACACGAUGCUCGUCAAUGUAGGGUUAGUCGGGUCCUAAGUCGAGUCCGAAAGGGGUAGACGAUGGCAAAUCGGUUAAUAUUCCGAUACCAACUAUAGCGCGCGAUGGGGGGACGCAUAGGGUUAAACGAGCUCACUGAUGGAAUAGUGGGUCGAAGGGUGUAGGUAAGCUGGAUAGGAAAAUCCGCCGGCUGUUUCCGAGACCUGACAGGCUGAUGACGCCCUUCGGGGAAGAUUCAGAAUCGUUGAUACCGUCGUGCCAAGAAAAGCCUCUAAGUAUAGCGAUAGUUGCCCGUACCGUAAACCGACACAGGUGGGUGAGAUGAGUAUUCUAAGGCGCGUGGAAGAACCCUGGUUAAGGAACUCUGCAAACUAGCACCGUAACUUCGGAAUAAGGUGUGCCUCCUCUGGUAUUAAGGUUUACCCCCAAAGCGAGAGAGGUUGCAACAAAGAGUCCCUCCCGACUGUUUAUCAAAAACACAGCACUUUGCUAACUCGUAAGAGGAUGUAUAAGGUGUGACGCCUGCCCGGUGCUUGAAGGUUAAUUGAUGGGGUUAGCGUAAGCGAAGCUCUUGAUCGAAGCCCAAGUAAACGGCGGCCGUAACUAUAACGGUCCUAAGGUAGCGAAAUUCCUUGUCGGUUAAAUACCGACCUGCAUGAAUG
rnacentral:rRNA from 1 species